CUACGGGCGGCUGCAGUGGGGAAUCUUAGACAAUGGGCGCAAGCCUGAUCUAGCCAUGCCGCGUGAGUGAUGAAGGCCUUAGGGUCGUAAAGCUCUUUCGCUGGGGAAGAUAAUGACGGUACCCAGUAAAGAAACCCCGGCUAACUCCGUGCCAGCAGCCGCGGUAAUACGGAGGGGGUUAGCGUUGUUCGGAAUUACUGGGCGUAAAGCGCGCGUAGGCGGACGGUUAAGUCGGGGGUGAAAUCCCGGGGCUCAACCCCGGAACGGCCUUCGAUACUGGCAGUCGGGAGUUCGAGAGAGGUGAGUGGAAUUCCGAGUGUAGAGGUGAAAUUCGUAGAUAUUCGGAGGAACACCAGUGGCGAAGGCGGCUCACUGGCUCGAUACUGACGCUGAGGUGCGAAAGUGUGGGGAGCAAACAGGAUUAGAACCCGAGUAGUC
rnacentral:rRNA from 1 species